AUGAUGCAUAGCCGAGUUAAAGACUGAUCGGCCACAUUGGGACUGAGACACGGCCCAAACUCCUACGGGAGGCUGCAGUAGGGAAUCUUCCACAAUGGGCGAAAGCCUGAUGGAGCAACGCCGCGUGUGUGAUGAAGGCUUUCGGGUCGUAAAGCACUGUUGUAUGGGAAGAAAAGUUAAGGUAGGGAAUGACCUUAGCCUGACGGUACCAUACCAGAAAGGGACGGCUAAAUACGUGCCAGCAGCCGCGGUAAUACGUAUGUCCCGAGCGUUAUCCGGAUUUAUUGGGCGUAAAGCGAGCGCAGACGGUUGGUUAAGUCUGAUGUGAAAGCCCGGAGCUCAACUCCGGAAAGGCAUUGGAAACUGGUUAACUUGAGUGCAGUAGAGGUAAGUGGAACUCCAUGUGUAGCGGUGGAAUGCGUAGAUAUAUGGAAGAACACCAGCGGCGAAGGCGGCUUACUGGACUGUAACUGACGUUGAGGCUCGAAAGUGUGGGUAGCAAACAGGAUUAGAUACCCUGGUAGUCCACACCGUAAACGAUGAACACUAGGUGUUAGGAGGUUUCCGCCUCUUAGUGCCGAAGCUAACGCAUUAAGUGUUCCGCCUGGGGAGUACGACCGCAAGGUUGAAACUCAAAGGAAUUGACGGGGACCCGCACAAGCGGUGGAGCAUGUGGUUUAAUUCGAAGCAACGCGAAGAACCUUACCAGGUCUUGACAUCCUUUGAAGCUUUUAGAAAUAGAAGUGUUCUCUUCGGAGACAAAGUGACAGGUGGUGCAUGGUCGUCGUCAGCUCGUGUCGUGAGAUGUUGGGUUAAGUCCCGCAACGAGCGCAACCCUUAUUGUUAGUUGCCAGCAUUCAGAUGGGCACUCUAGCGAGACUGCCGGUGACAAACCGGAGGAAGGCGGGGACGACGUCAGAUCAUCAUGCCCCUUAUGACCUGGGCUACACACGUGCUACAAUGGCGUAUACAACGAGUUGCCAACCUGCGAAGGUGAGCUAAUCUCUUAAAGUACGUCUCAGUUCGGACUGCAGUCUGCAACUCGACUGCACGAAGUCGGAAUCGCUAGUAAUCGCGGAUCAGCACGCCGCGGUGAAUACGUUCCCGGGUCUUGUACACACCGCCCGUCACACCAUGGAAGUUUGUAAUGCCCAAAGCCGGUGGCCUAACCGUAAGGAGGGAACCGUCUAAGGCAG
rnacentral:rRNA from 1 species